rnacentral:rRNA from 1 species
UCGAGCGAUGAAACUUCUUCGGAAGUGGAUUAGCGGCGGACGGGUGAGUAACACGUGGGCAACCUGCCCUAUAGAGGGGAAUAGCCUUCCGAAAGGAAGAUUAAUACCCCAUAAGAUUGUAGCUUCACAUGGAGCAGCAAUUAAAGGAGCAAUCCGCUAUAGGAUGGGCCCGCGGCGCAUUAGCUAGUUGGUGAGGUAACGGCUCACCAAGGCGACGAUGCGUAGCCGACCUGAGAGGGUGAUCGGCCACAUUGGGACUGAGACACGGCCCAGACUCCUACGGGAGGCAGCAGUGGGGAAUAUUGCACAAUGGGGGAAACCCUGAUGCAGCAACGCCGCGUGAGUGAUGAAGGCCUUCGGGUUGUAAAGCUCUGUCUUUGGGGACGAUAAUGACGGUACCCAAGGAGGAAGCCACGGCUAACUACGUGCCAGCAGCCGCGGUAAUACGUAGGUGGCAAGCGUUGUCCGGAUUUACUGGGCGUAAAGGGAGCGUAGGCGGACUUUUAAGUGGGAUGUGAAAUACUCGGGCUCAACCUGAGUGCUGCAUUCCAAACUGGAAGUCUAGAGUGCAGGAGGGGAAAGUGGAAUUCCUAGUGUAGCGGUGAAAUGCGUAGAUAUUAGGAAGAACACCGGUGGCGAAGGCGACUUUCUGGACUGUAACUGACGCUGAGGCUCGAAAGCGUGGGGAGCGAACAGGAUUAGAUACCCUGGUAGUCCACGCC